rnacentral:pre_miRNA from 1 species
ACAACAACAUUCGAACCGUCGGUCUACCGAGCAAUAUCAACCGUUCGGUGGAAGAUCUUCCCUUUCAUCGUUUAAG